CUCAAGAGUGGUCAACAUUACCCCCUAGUAAAGGGGGUGAUGCCUAUGAUGACAACUUUUCAAGCGCUAAUGCUAAUGUUAGCAUUUGGUAGUUUGAUUGUGUCGAUUAUAUCAUUUAAAAACAAAAAGUAACCCACCCUUGAGUUGAAGAGCUCCGAUAGGGUGGAUUACUCCUUAUGAGCUGACUCCCUUAGAGGGAACCUGCUAUUGUGUGGACCGUUGGG
rnacentral:sRNA from 1 species